UCCAGUCCCAAGCCACCUUUCACGUCCACCUAAAGAACACACCUCUUUUCCUCCUCCUCCUCCCGGUCUCUUGCCCCAGUUCUUUAAAGUAAGGGACAAGAACUGAAGGCCAUCCCGUGGCUGGAGAGAUCAGAGCUGACUGAACAACCAGACUCAUGAAAUUACCCCUACCCACCCCCUUCAAAAUGUACAUGGUUAUCAGAAGCACAUAGCAAAGUUCUGGAUAUAAUUUGCUCAUCAGAUAAACACUUUUUACGCACUCACUCUGCACCAGGUUUUAGAAGCAUGAGAAGGAAAGCUACGGUGUAGUUGGAUGGGGAACAGAGUCAGGUUUGCGGAGGACACAGACAUUCAAAUGAAGCUUUUUGAAAGAUCGCGGUGAAGUUGCGUCUUCAAGGACAAACAGGAAUUAGCAAUGUAAAGAGGGCAAAUAAGAACCCGUCUGAAGGCCCACAGCCAGGGCACCCGGACCGCGUGGGACCUGUGGUAACAGCACUCCGUUUUGUGUGGCGGGGUCAAAGUGCACAUGGGCAGCAUGAGACAAGGUUGAAGAGGCAGGAAGGGGCCAGCCAGACUCGAAAUAGCUUCUGAACUAAACAGGGUACUAAACAAAUUGGUAUUCCAAUCUUCAUUUCUAUCUUCUGCCAAAUACGCAAGUGUGAAUAACCCAGGUCGUCAGUUGUUCUUUCAAGUAAAAAUGGUGUUCUCUGAAAAAGAAGCUAGCUCAGCUCACAACUCAAACCACCUCACAAGAGCUUCUCCUUCGAGCAACCACUGCAGAAGUGCGCUACGUGAGCUUAAGAGUCCCUCUCAUGGGAUUUUAAAAGGAACGGUACUCUUGUUACUCUCCUACUCUUGGGAGUUAAAAAACUUGAGAGCUGAACAAAAUAUGGAAACCCUGUUAGAAACUCUGAGAUUGGAUAAUAGUAAAAUAAAAUCAAAACCCUUAAAAAAAACAAGUAUGGUCAGUGAUUGACCUAGAACAAAUAUAAUCAUUCUCACGGCUUCAUCAAGCACAUUCUUAAGUGAAUGGUAUUUUCUUUUCUUUUAACUCUGAGUGUGCAGCAGUAAAGAAUACGAUGACUACUCACACAGCUUGUGUCACUGCCCUGAUUCACGCUAAGGUGCCAGCAGUUUUACCACUACUGCAGUGCAAAUGACAGAACAAUGAAAAAAGCAAGUCUCGGUAUUCUUAUGAAAAUAGUUUUGCCCUCAUGGACUUCCAGAGAGGGUCUCAGGGGCCCCUAGGGGUCUGCAGACCAUACUGUGACAACUGCUGUUCCAGACGAAGGAUUAUGUCUUCACGACCUGCAUGUUUAAAACCCACUUGAAACUGAACAUGCCCAAAACGGAACUCUUGAUCCCCCAUGCCUUUUCCUAGUCUUCCCCGUCUCAGUUAGUGCAAAGAUCCUCCAUUCAGCAGCUCAGGUCACUAAUAUUGUGAAGUAAUCCUCAAUUCUUUUUUUCUCUUUGCCCCUCAUCCACUUCUUCAGCAAGUUCUAUCAGCAAUACCUCCAAAAUAUAUCCCAAAUUCAUCUGUCCCACUCCAUGUCCACUGAUAACACCCUACUCCCAAGCACUACCAGAUAAUGCAACAGCCUCCUGACUAGUUUCCCUGCUCCCAUUCUGCUCACCCUGUCUUCCAUCCAUUCUCCACCAGCAGCCAGUGGACUC